UUCCCUUCUAUCUGCCAGAAUGUAUUUCUGGUGAUCCGUAAGAAGGUGCCAUUUAGUUUUAUUUUUUUGGUAGCUCCAGAAAGGUCGAAUAUUGGCAGUUGUAUUUUCACCCAAGUCAACUCCAUGAAGUCCCCGUUGGCCUUCCUUGGUGCCACAUCCCCUGGGUUGGCGGCUGUGUCCUGCACACAGUGGGACCUCUGUCUAUCAGGGGAAUGAGUGAAACCUGGAUUAUUAGCUCAAAACGCACGAGGACUCACUCAGACGUUCCCCACAGGUAGACUGUCCUCAGGUUUUCCUGGGACUCUCCAAGCUCCUACUCCCUGCGUUCAUUCUGGACCUGGCCUUGACGAUCGCUUCCUUUUUCUGUUGCAUCCAGCACUGAUAACCUGCGGUUCAGCCAUCAGCCGAGACUUGGUGGUAACCCAGCUGGGGCAGGAUCGGCCGACUUGCUGCCUUCUGCUUCCGUUCAGCUAGGACUCCCCCUGGGAUGUGUGUCAACGCCAGUGUCAACGGCCACCAGUGCUUUCCCUCCACUUGCCUUCCUGACACAGACACAGCAGUUGGCUCCAGUUGGGGAAGGGAGCCACCCCUCUCCUCUGCCCUCUUGCUGGAGGCCCCACAGCAGGACUACUUGCCUCUCCAGGACCCAGAACUUACAACUGAGAGCAGCAGCUUCAUGUUGCCAAGUUGUCUGGGUCAGCAAGGGCCCCCCAAUGAGCCACCGGGUCUUAUUUCUGAAUUUGCCUUCGAUUGGUAACAAGUGACAAAUUGCUUCUUUUCUUUUUGAUAGGUUAUCUUUCGUUGGUCCCUAAUUCCUCCUUUAAAUUUUUCUCAUUUACAUUUUAAAAGUAAUACAGGUUUGAAAAUGAAUUCAAAGGGAUCCCUGGGUGGCUCAGCAGUUUAGUGCAUGCCUUCAGCCCAGGGCGUGAUCCUGGAGUCCCAGGAUCGAAUCCCAUAUUGGACUCCUUGCAUGGAGCCUGCUUCUCCCUCUGCCUGUCUCUGUUUCUCUCACUCCCUCUGUGUCUCUCGUGAAUAAAUAAAUAAAAAUCUUUAAAAAAAUUAAGAAAAGAAGAAAAUGAAUUCAAAGCACAGAGGAAAAUGUGAAAUGGAGAGUAAAGGUCCUUUAGUAGGAGCCACUGUUUGUUUUCUCUUGUGUAGAUCUUUCUAGAUGUUUUCUAUUCCAGUACACAUGCAAGUAUACUUAAUAGUCUUCAAAAACCCACAAGUAGGACAGGAUUAAAAGGCUCUUCUGCGAUUUUCUUUUCUUGUUUAAGAAUCUUGUACAAAAAAAAAAGACUCUUGUACAUCUCUUUAUAACUUUUAAUAAUAAUUUUAUCUUGUACAUCUACCUCAUUCUUGUUGAUAGAUGCGGAGUAUUUAUUUUACCCAAUUGGGUAAACCAAUAGUGAAUUGGUUCACUAUUGACAGGGAUUCGUUUUUACUAUCUUCUGCCAUAAAUGAUGCAACGAGUGUCCUUGUCCACAAAUCUUUGCAUACUUGUAAAUCUGUAGAAUAAAUUCUUGGCAGUGAAAUUGCUGCAUCAAGGAGUAUGCAUGUGCACUUAAAUUGUUUAAUCGCAUCAUCUAAUUACCACCGAAAAUGCUGCACCAACUACACACCCAUUGAUAGUAUGUCAUGGUCUCUGUUUUACCACACCCUCACUAAGACUGGGUAUUGUCAUCUGCCCUCUCUGGAAUCUGGACUCCUGUCUGCAUUACAACUAUGAGAAUGGCAACCAGAAAAAACAACAACAACAAAAAAACAAAAACAAAACAAAACCCUAUGAGAAUGGCUAAUUUUCUCUCUUUUUCCUAGAAAGCUGCUCAGUCUCCUCCAUAUUUAUUUGAAACCUGGAUGGGGUGGGAGUGGGAAGGAUCGGAUGUCACCUAAUACCUCACAUGAGCCAAAUCUUACCCAUCUCCUGCUUUUUGGAGGAAUGAAACAGAAGCACAAAUGAGAUCCCAAACGCACACUGGGCUAGGAAUGCCCAAUCCCUGGCCCUACCCACCCAGGCCCUUUGGCUGUAAGGAUCUAAACGUGGUACUGAGAAGCUGCUCCUGACACAGAAGGAACCAAUCUUCCCUUCUCUACUGGACCCCACUCCCUCCCUCAGCUUAACAACAGUUCAGAUCGCUGAACCCAGCCCAACCCCACUUCCGUCCUUGGCCAGGGCUGGUCCAGGUUCUUGGCUCUGCACACAUCUGCCUGGGCCGGGUGACCAGCUCUGCAGCCUCUGUUCCUGCUGGAGGCCUCACCUCUAGCCCAGCCCUAGGAGGAUAGUGUCCCCCCGCCCCCUUCCUGUGGCUGUAGCUGUUCUUCACUGAUCCUGAAACCACCUCCUUCCCAGAAUAGUCACAUGUGGAGCUCUCCCAGGCCUGCUUUUCCAGCUGUUGCUGUGGCACCUGCCCACCACCGAGGCCUAAUAGAGACACAUCGACAUAAGAUCAUGCUUCCUUACCCCGGAUUCUCAGUGAGCACUAGUCUGGUUCUGAAAUGGCCUGUGGUUGGGGUGUUGGGUCCACAUUGGUCCCUGGCCAGGUAAAAGUAUAAAUAGAAGCUCAUGUGCUGUAUGUCUAAAUAUUUAUUUAUUUAUUUUUAUGUCUAAAUAUUUAAAAGUUAUAAAUUAAGUAAUCUCUACACCCAACGUGAGGCUCGAAUUUACAACCCCGAGAUCAAGAGUCACAUGCUCUUCUGUGAGCCAGCCACAGCUAAUGCAUCGUCAAAUAAAAUGUGUUCUAUCCUCAUAUUUUGACAAAUAUACCUUCAUAAUGACGGGAUAGAAAAAUAUGUGUAAAUGUGUUUUUGAGGACUGAGAGUCAGCAAAUUAUCAGAAACAAUUGAAUUAAAUUUGAUAUGUUAUGUUUAAACAUUGUGUUUGAAUUAUUGUCACAGACAAUAUAAUUUUUUUGAAAGAUUUUUAUUUAUUUGUUCAUGAGAGAGACACACAGAGAGAGACAGAGACACAGGCAGAGGGAGAAGCAGGUUCCCUGCAGGGAGCCCAGUGUGGGACACUGCGAUCCCAGGACCCCGGGGUCAUGACCUGAGCCAAAGGCAGACGCUCAACCACUGAGCCAUCAAGGCGUCCCUGUCACAGAAAAUCUAAAAUAUUUAAUUUAAUUUCCUGCUUGGAGUUCUUUCAGCUUUUUGGAUCAAUGAUUUUAUACUGUUCCUCAUAUUGGGGCAAGUUUUAAUCAUUGUUUCUUAAAAUAAUUAUGUGUCUUUUUUCUUUUUUUUCCUGGGAUUCCAACUACAGGUAUACUGAAUCACUUGAAAUUGUGCCAUUGAGUCUGUUCAUUUUCCCCCAUUUCUUUUCUCCCUCUUUGUUCUUUGUUUUGAAUAGUUUUUAUUGUGUGUCUUCAAGUUCACUGAUCUUUUUUCUCCAGUGUUUAACUUGCUACUAAUCCCAUCCAGUGACUUUUUCACAUUGUGUUUUUCAUGUCUAGGA